rnacentral:rRNA from 1 species
UACGUAGGGGGCAAGCGUUGUCCGGAUUUAUUGGGCGUAAAGAGCGUGUAGGCGGCUAGGUAGGUCCGUUGUGAAAACUCGAGGCUCAACCUCGAGACGCCGAUGGAAACCAUCUAGCUAGAGUCCGGAAGAGGAGAGUGGAAUUCCUGGUGUAGCGGUGAAAUGCGCAGAUAUCAGGAAGAACACCCGUGGCUAAGGCGGCUCGCUGGGACGUUACUGACGCUGAGACGCGAAAGCGUGGGGAGCAAACAGG